CGGGUGAGUAACACGUGGGUAAUCUGCCCUGCACUCUGGGAUAAGCCUGGGAAACUGGGCCUAAUACUGGAUAUGACCUUUCUCCUUAUGGGGUUUGGUGGAAAGUUUUUCGGUGUAGGAUGAGCCCGCGGCCUAUCAGCUUGUUGGUGGGGUGAUGGCCUACCAAGGCGACGACGGGUAGCCGGCCUGAGAGGGUGAUCGGCCACAUUGGGACUGAGAUACGGCCCAG
rnacentral:rRNA from 1 species